rnacentral:misc_RNA from 1 species
GAGAUCCCCUUUCUCUCUUCAAUUACAUUGUAAUCCAUAUUCUCUCCAUGAUCAUCAUCACUGGAAUUGCUCCCCUCAGCUAAAAUACCUUCUCCAUUUAAUACUGACUCAUAGUUGCCACUGAAAACCCUAUACGCAUUCCCAUUCUCAGCAAAGGUGACAGUUUUCUUCUUUCUAGAUUGACCAAAAUUGCUUCUGAUCAAAACUCCAUUUCCAAUUA